rnacentral:rRNA from 1 species
GACGAACGCUGGCGGCGUGCCUAAUACAUGCAAGUUGAGCGCUGAAGGUUGGUACUUGUACCGACUGGAUGAGCAGCGAACGGGUGAGUAACGCGUGGGGAAUCUGCCUUUGAGCGGGGGACAACAUUUGGAAACGAAUGCUAAUACCGCAUAAAAACUUUAAACACAAGUUUUAAGUUUGAAAGAUGCAAUUGCAUCACUCAAAGAUGAUCCCGCGUUGUAUUAGCUAGUUGGUGAGGUAAAGGCUCACCAAGGCGAUGAUACAUAGCCGACCUGAGAGGGUGAUCGGCCAAAAUGGGACUGAGACACGGCCCAAACUCCUACGGGAGGCAGCAGGAGGGAAGCUUCGGCAAUGGACGAAAGGCUGACCGAGCAACGCCGCGUGAGUGAAGAAGGUUUUCGGAUCGUAAAACUCUGUUGGUAGAGAAGAACGUUGGUGAGAGUGGAAAGCUCAUCAAGUGACGGUAACUACACAGAAAGGGACGGCUAACUACGUG